rnacentral:rRNA from 1 species
GUGGGGAAUCUUGCACAAUGGGCGAAAGCCUGAUGCAGCCAUGCCGCGUGAAUGAUGAAGGCCUUAGGGUUGUAAAAUUCUUUCGUCAGGGAUGAUAAUGACCGUACCUGAAGAAGAAGCCCCGGCUAACUUCGUGCCAGCAGCCGCGGUAAUACGAAGGGGGCUAGCGUUGUUCGGAAUUACUGGACGUAAAGCGCACGUAGGCGGACUUUUAAGUCAGGUGUGAAAUCCCGGGGCUCAACCUCGGAACUGCAUUUGAAACUGGAAGUCUUGAGAUCAGGAGAGGUUAGCGGAAUACCGAGUGUAGAGGUGAAAUUCGUAGAUAUUCGGUGGAACACCAGUGGCGAAGGCGGCUAACUGGACUGAUACUGACGCUGAGGUGCGAAAGUGUGGGGAGCAAACAGGAUUAGAUACCCCGGUAGUCC